rnacentral:misc_RNA from 1 species
CGUAUAAAAAAAAAAAAAUUAACCCAAUACAAAAAAUUCUAAAAAAAAUAAAUAAUUUCUUACAUGUAAUGUCAUUUUUUUUUGUAGAAAUGUUAAUGUGGCAUGUCUUUUUUUAGUUUAUAGUACAUGUUAGCUUGCCAUAUCUUGUACGUAUGAGACUAACAACAAAUCUGCAAUUGAAGUCUUAAAACAAUGGAUGACUAUAAUUGAUACCAAAGUUUGGGAUGUAAGUGACAAAAUUGAAAGAUGGACAGAAUUGGUAUGCAUUGUGG